GGACGGACGGCGAAACCGGAAGUGGAGACGGAGCGCGAAAUGAAUGAAAGCAGAGCGCAAAAUGAAUGAAUGAAAACGGCAGACUUCAGCGUAUAACGUUUACUGUACACAACUAAAAAGAAAGACGAAGAGAAGAGAAGAGGAGUCUAAUACGAGCCCCUCUUUAGUUACAAGCAGCCUACGAGGUUCCUCUCUAUCUCCCUACACAUCCACCAACCACUGGAAGACAUCUCCAAAGUUCUGCCGGGCCAGCUCAGCUUCCCCUCAGAAGAAGUGCCGCCACCUGCCAGAUGAAGGAGCCUUUUGAGAGGCAGCUGGCAUCGUGAUUGGACUGUACUUUGGUCUGUUCCAAUCCAGCUUCAGGUCCAGAGACGGCAGGCGGGACGAGUCAACGGAGGCUGGGUGGACGAAGGCAUGCAGCUGAGUACGAUCCAGAAAACAACAGAGGACGAGUGUAGCGGCCCAGGGCCAGAACAAACAGAGUAGCAUCGUAUGACUCUUAGAAAACAUCAUAGUAUAGCCUUUGGUAUGAAAAAACGCCAUCAUAUACAUCGUAUAUUGUACAAAUAACAAGUCAAAGGAAAGAGACAUACAUUGUAGAAUUGUAGUAAUUGUGGGCUGACUGAUUUACUGAUUAUCAAUAUUUUAUUUUUUACUGAUUUACAGUAAUAAAUACAUUUAAAAAUGGUGCUACUUUGGCUCUGAACCUUAAUCUACCUGUGGUCGCUCUGUCUUCUGGAGUGAUUUGAUUGGUUAUACGUCACGAAUAAAACUCCUUUAACUUAACAUCUGUAAACAAAACAAAAACGUAUCAACAAAGUUUUCUGUUAGAGUUUGUGUUCUUCUAAGUUUAACUCCAAGAUUUUAAAUACUUUCAUUUACUGCAAAUGAAUAUCGACUCCAAAUGUCUCACUAAUAAUCAUUAUCAGCCUUAAAAACCCACAAAACACCCCUCUAUACUCGACAACACUUAGUACAGUCCGGUUCCCCCUUCUAUAAAUCUGCUUGGAAUCGUCCACUUCCUGUUUGUCAAAGUGGCCUUCUACCUGGAC
ensembl:lncRNA